ACUGCACUCCAGCCUGGCAACAGAGCGAAACUCCGUCUCAGAAAACAAACAAACAAACAAAAACUUACUGCAAAACAACAGUAAUCAAAACCGUGGGUACUGGCAUGAAGGCAGACAUAGACAAAUGGAAUUGAAUAGAGAGCCUAGAAAUAAACUCUCUCAUAUAUGAUCAAAUGAUUUUUGACAAAGAUGACAAGACCAUUCAGUGGAAAGGACAGUCUCUAUAACAAAUGUCACUGGGAAAACUGGAUAGCCAUAAUCAAAAGAAUGAGAUUGGACCCCUACCUCACAGCGUGUACAAAUAUUAGCUCAAAAUGAAUUAAAAACCUGAAUAUAAGAGUUAGAACUAUAAAACUUUUAGGAGAAAGCAUAGAAGAGAGGCUUCGUGACACACCAAAAGCAUAAGCAACAAAAUAAAUAAAUAAAUAGAUCAGACUUGAGCAAAAUUAGAAUCCUUUGUGUAUCAAAGGAUACUAUUAAGAUAGUAAAAAGGCAACCCACAGAAUGGGAGAAAAUGUUUGCAAAUCAUAUAUCUGAAAAGGGGUUAAAGUCCAGAAUAUAUAGAGAGAAUUCCUACAACUGAACGACAACAAAACAAACAACCCAAUUUAAAAAUGGACAAAAAAUUUUCCCAGUGUGGUGGCGCGAACCUGUAGUCCCAGCCACUCAGGAGGCUGAGGCACAAGAAUCGCUUGAACUGGGUAGGCAGAGAUUGCAGUAAGCCGAGAUCAUGCUACUGCACUCCAGCCUGGGCAGCAGAGCGAGAUUCUGUAUCAAAAUAAAAAAAACAAGCAAAAAAAUGGACAAAAGACUUGAGUAGGUGUUUCUCCAAAGAAGACAUAUGAAUGGCAAAUAAACACAUAAAAUUAUGUGGAGAUAUAUUGGAACCCUGAUACAUUGCUGGUGGGAAUACAAAAUUAUUCAGCCACUGUGGAAAACAGUUUAACGGUUCCUUAAAAAGUUAAACGUAGAAUUACCAUAUGGCUCAGCAAUUUCACUCCUAUUUGUAUACCCCAAAUAUUUGAUAAAAGGGACUCAAUGUUCAUAGCAUACUAUUCAUAAUAGCCAAAAGAUGCAAACAACCCAAAUGCUGAUCAACAGAUGAAUGGAUAAACAAAAUGUGCAUACAGAUACAGUGGAAUAUUAUUCAUCUAGAAAAGGAAUGAAUUGUCAUAAUUUUUUUUUUUUUGAGACGGAAUCUUGCACUGUCCCCCAGGCUGGAGUGCAGUGGCUU
rnacentral:lncRNA from 10 species